GACGAACGCUGGCGGCGUGCUUAACACAUGCAAGUCGAACGGAAAGGCCCAGCUUGCUGGGUACUCGAGUGGCGAACGGGUGAGUAACACGUGGGUGAUCUGCCCUGGACUCUGGGCUAAGCCUGGGCAACUUGGUCUAAUACCUGAUAUGACCUUACAUCGCAUGGUGUUUGGUGGAAAGCUUUUGCGGUUCAGAGUGGGCCCGCGGCCUAUCCGCUUGUUGGGGGGGUAAUGGCCUACCAAGGCGACGCCGGGUAGCCGACCUGAGAGGGUGAUCGACCACACUGGAACAGAGACGAGGCAGAAGCGCCGAAGAGAGGAAGAAGGGGGGAAGAUUGAUGAAGGGGCGCAGGGCGGAGGAAGCAACGCCGCGGGAGGGAUGACGGCUUUGGGGGUGAAAACCGCUUGCACCGGGGACGAGGGGGGAGAGACGAGACCGGGAAAAGAAGCACCGGCAAACCACG
rnacentral:rRNA from 1 species